UCAAACUUGGUCAUUUAGAGGAAGUAAAAGUCGUAACAAGGUCUCCGUAGGUGAACCUGCGGAGGGAUCAUUACUGAGUGAGGGUACUCUAUACCCGAUCUCCAACCCUAUGUCGUACACUCUUUGUUGCCCCGGGGCUUCCUUUAAAGGACCUCAGAGGACCACACCAAUCUGUCUUUUUGCGUCAGAGUUACAUUAUUAAAUGAAUCAAAACUUUCAACAACGGAUCUCUUGGUUCUGGCAUCGAUGAAGAACGCAGC
rnacentral:misc_RNA from 1 species